rnacentral:rRNA from 1 species
UGAUCCUGGCUCAGGAUGAACGCUGGCGGCGUGUCUAAGGCAUGCAAGUCGAAUGUCUGUAGCAAUACAGGCAUGGCAAACGGGAGAGUAACACAUUGGUAAUCUACCCCUAAGACGAGGAUAACCUUGCGAAAGUGAGGAUAAUACUCGAUGGUAUUGGAAGGCCCAAGCCUUCCAAUUAAAGCUCCGGCGCUUAGGGAGGAACCUAUGGCCUAUCAGCUAGUUGGUGAGGUAACGGCCCACCAAGGCUACGACGGGUAUGGGGUGCGAGAGCAUGGCCCCACUCACUGGGACUGAGACACUGCCCAGACUCCUACGGGAGGCUGCAGUCAAGAAUCUUCCUCAAUGGGCGAAAGCCUGAAGGAGCGACGCCGCGUGUAUGAAGAAGCCCCUCGGGGUGUAAAGUACUUUUAACUGUGACGAAACAAUGACGGUAGCAGUUGAAUAAGGGGCUGCUAACCUCGUGCCAGCAGCAGCGGUAAUACGAGGGCCCCGAGCGUUAUCCGGAUUUAUUGGGCGUAAAGGGUGUGUAGGCUGUUUAUACCAUCUCCUGUUAAAUCUUAAGGCUCAACCUUGAGGCUGCGGGAGAUAUGAAUAAACUAGAGUUCGGAAGAGGCAAGCGGAAUUGCUGGUGUAGGGGUUAAAUCCGUUAAUAUCAGCAAGAACACCGAAAGCGAAGGCAGCUUGCUAGGACGACACUGACGCUGAGACACGAAAGCGUGGGGAGCGAAUGGGAUUAGAUACCCCAGUAGUCCACGCUGUAAACGAUGGAUGCUGAACAUUGGCAGUAUCGACCCUGCCAGUGUGGCUGUAAUCAAGCUAACGCCUUAAGCAUCCCGCCUGGGGAGUACGGCCGCAAGGCUAAAACUCAAAGGAAUAGACGGGGACCCGCA